rnacentral:ncRNA from 1 species
GCGGUCGCCUCAAUUUGGGGCGCCCUGGCGGUGACGUCAGGGGCAAAUCUGGCUGUAUGCUGGGAGGUCCGUUCCCUAGCUAACUUUCGACUCCGUAAAGUAAGCGAAGGGAUGAAGAAUCCAGAGUUACCCAAUUUCAUGGGUGAAAAUACUACUGGUGCGGAUAAUCAGCAGGGAAGUCCUAGAAACCUCAAAAGAUUCCAACAAAUUCUAGUGACCCCUCAACGACUAUACGCCAGACUCGCAAAUUAAAUUCUAACAGUAACUUAACUCCAAAAAUUAAUUGGCGAGAUGAUAUAGUCUGAACUUCAUAGCGAUAUGAAG